rnacentral:lncRNA from 1 species
AUUUGAGCAGGGACAUGCAUGGUAACAGUCUCUAGCCUUAUGAAGCUCAGUAAGAACCACGUCCCUGAGGUUGGAACAAAUGGACAAAAUGAAGAGGAGAAGAUGGCAGAUUGCUUAAUUUCUUGAAAUGUGAUGAUCAAGAACACAGCUUGGAAGUUCAACGGACCUCCAGCUAUCGCAUCAAAAUCAUGUUCAGCAUCUGUGAAAUUGACCCUCAACUGUGAAAUCAUAUUUUAAUGAUAAAGUGCCAAAAGUGUUCUGCAAGUAUAAGGUGUGUGUCCGUGAUCCCACUCUUCUCUGCACCUCUGCCUGCUCUCCCAAAUGAAGACUGCCCAUCCGGCUCAUCACCUUGGUCCUACCUAGCUUUCCAGGCCAAGUUCAAAUUCUUCCUUUGCAAUGGAACUGAGGACCACCUCAUUGGUCCCAUAUAUCUCUUCUCUUCUUGAUCCAAAUCCCUGCUCAAAAGGAAGAUUAGCCCUGAGCUAACAUCCAUGCCCAUCUUCCUCUAUCUUAUAUGUGGCAUGCUGCCACAGCAUGGCUUGAUAAGUGGUGUGUAGGUCCAUGCCCAGGAUCUGGGCUGGCAAACCCUGGGCCACUGAAGUGGAACACUCAAACUUAACCACCACGCCACCCGGCUGGCCCCCUUCGGACACAACUUUUAACCUUCAUCAGCCUCAAGUGACCACCUGUAAAACGGCUACAAGGUCUGACUGUCUAUGAGGCUGUGAGCACUUGGUGAUGUUUAAUAAACAGGGCCUGGACUAGGGCAAGAAUGGCCAGAGGCAGAACCAGAAACGUAGGGAGAAGGUUUUCCUUUGCAGCUUUCUGAGAGCCCUUACAAGCACUUGAUCUUUGUUCCCUUCAGCAACAAUGGAUGAGAGUAUACAACAUUGGAGCCACAAAGUGUGAACUGACGUAUGAAUUGGAGAAAGAUGUUUGCCGGGUAGGAGGAAUGUGGAAGACCACGCUGGCUCCAAACUGUGAAGACUGAGGCACAUAUUAGAAGAGUCUUCUCCCCAACAGCUCCCAUCUAUACCAGUUACCAGUUUGCUGCUUCUACCCCAACGACCAGGCCGUCUCCCCUACGCAGAAACCUAUUAACCCUAGGAGGUG